AGUGAACGCUGGCGGUAGGCCUAACACAUGCAAGUCGAACGGCAGCACAGUAAGAGCUUGCUCUUACGGGUGGCGAGUGGCGGACGGGUGAGGAAUACAUCGGAAUCUACUUUUUCGUGGGGGAUAACGUAGGGAAACUUACGCUAAUACCGCAUACGACCUACGGGUGAAAGCAGGGGAUCUUCGGACCUUGCGCGAUUGAAUGAGCCGAUGUCGGAUUAGCUAGUUGGCGGGGUAAAGGCCCACCAAGGCGACGAUCCGUAGCUGGUCUGAGAGGAUGAUCGGCCACACUGGAACUUGGACACGGUCCAGACUCCUACGGGAGGCAGCAGUGGGGAAUAUUGGACAAUGGGCGCAAGCCUGAUCCAGCCAUACCGCGUGGGUGAAGAAGGCCUUCGGGUUGUAAAGCCGUUUUGUUGGGAAAGAAAAGCAGCAGGUUAAUACCCCGCUGUUCUGACGGUACCCAAUAAAUAAGCACCGGCUAACUUCGUG
rnacentral:rRNA from 1 species